GCUUCCGUAGCAUAGUGGUAUUGCGUCCGCUUCGUAAGCGGAAGGCCGUGAGUUCGAUCCUCACCGGGAGCA